rnacentral:rRNA from 1 species
UACGGAGGGUGCAAGCGUUAUCCGGAUUCACUGGGUUUAAAGGGUGCGUAGGCGGGUUGGUAAGUCAGUGGUGAAAUCUUCAAGCUUAACUUGGAAGCUGCCGUUGAUACUAUCAAUCUUGAAUAUUGUGGAGGUAAGCGGAAUAUGUCAUGUAGCGGUGAAAUGCUUAGAUAUGACAUAGAACACCGAUAGCGAAGGCAGCUUGCUACACAAUAAUUGACGCUGAGGCACGAAAGCGUGGGGAUCAAACAGG